GGGGAAUCUUGCGCAAUGGCCUAACGGCUGACGCAGCGACGCCGCGUGCGGGAGGAAGGUCUUCGGAUCGUAAACCGCUGUCGGGAGGGACGAAAUCUACCGGGAGGCAAUGCCUGGUCGUUGACGGUACCUUCAAAGGACGCACCGGCUAACUCAGUGCCAGCAGCCGCGGUAAUACGGAGGGUGCGAGCGUUGUUCGGAAUCAUUGGGCGUAAAGCGCGCGCAGGCGGUCUGGGAAGUCUAUGGGUGAAAUGCCGGGGCUCAACUCCGUGCGUGCCCAGGAUACUCCCAGGCUAGAGACAUGUAGAGGCGAGCGGAAAUCCGGGUGUAGCGGUGGAAUGCGUAGAGAUCCGGAAGAACACCAGAGGCGAAGGCGGCUCGCUGGGCAUGAUCUGACGCUGAGGCGCGAAAGCGUGGGGAGCGAA
rnacentral:rRNA from 1 species